UAGAGCAUCAUGAAGCUAACCAUAUCCUCAU
rnacentral:piRNA from 1 species